rnacentral:rRNA from 1 species
UGCGCAGGCGGUCCGUUUGUGGGUGGUGAAAUCUCCCUGGCGUCAACUGGGAGGGGGCCAACCAAACGGGCGGACUUGAGGCGUGGAGAGGGACGUGGAAUUCCGGGUGGAGCGGUGAAAUGCGUAGAGAUCCGGAGGAACACCGACGGCGAAGGCAGCGUCCUGGCCACGACCUGACGCUCAGGCACGAAAGCUGGGGGAGCAAACAGGAUUAGAUACCCUGGUAGUCCCAGCUGUAAACGAUGUCCACCAGGUGCUGGAGGUAUCGACCCCUUCGGUGCCGAAGCUAACGUGAUGAGUGGACCGCCUGGGGAGUACGGCCGCAAGGUUAAA